rnacentral:misc_RNA from 1 species
GAUGAAGAACGUAGCGAAAUGCGAUAAGUAAUGCGAAUUGCAGAAUCCGUGAGUCAUCGAAUCUUUGAACGCACAUUGCGCCCUCUGGUAUUCCGGAGGGCAUGCCUGUUCGAGCGUCAUUAUCACCCCCCAAGCCCGGCUUGUUGUUGGAUGCAGCGCUUAUCCCGCUCCUCCCAAAGAUAAUGACGGCGUCUGCGACGACUCCUGUACACUGAGCUUUCGGGCACGUACACGGCUAGAAGUCCAGACCCGGUCGCCGUCCCCCCCCGCGGGGACACCCAUUACCACAAGGUUGACCUCGGAUCAGGUAGGAAUACCCGCUGAACUUAAGCAUAUCAUAAGCGGAGGA